UUGGCCAUCAAAUGAGGGAAACAGGCCAGCUCCUCGACAAAAAAAGUGGCAUGAGAUUUAUCAAAGGAUUGAGAAAUGCCCAUUGCAAUCUCGUGGGCAGAGGACUUUGCUUGGAGGUGUGCUGAAAUGCACAUGUGGUUUUCACACUCAAAAGCAGAGUACUGCUUCUGCUGCUCCAGCACAAACGGUGCAACAACCUGCCCCUACUGUACCUGCUCAGGAGGUGAUGGAGACAAGACAACUUGAGGCCCAGCCCCAGCCCCCGUCUACUCCAUCAGUGGCAUCAAAGAUUUCACCGCAAUUGUCAAUGGUACAUUUUUUUAAAAAUCAAAAGAAAUGACAAUUUCAGUGUUUCAAGUGUUCAAUGUGUUCAAAGUUCAGUUCAAAGUUCAAACAUAGGAGAGAAAAGAACAAAAAGCAAUAAAAAAGUUGAGGUCUUGAACUCGAAACACUGUAGAGAAAUCAAACUGAUUGUACAACUGACAUAUAGAAAGAUAGUUUCUAAUUGCUUGAAAUUUAAUGUGAUAUACACUAAUGUUCAAAAAAUUAUUAUUGUUAAAAUAUGAAAGCUUAAUAUUAAUCAUAUUUUGCAAGAAUUCUAUUGUGUUUGAUUUGCUCAUAAAUUAAGUAGAUUUUAUUUGAUUUGAAUUGUUUGAAUAAAUUAUUCUUUAUUUAUUUAAUUUGCCUAUAUUAUUAUUUCUCAUUAUUCCAGUUUUUAUUAAAUAUUUGAUCAAAUAAAUGUAGCCUUGAUAAACAUAAUUAAAACAUAAAAAAAUACAUUGAGCAGAUCGCAAACCUUUGAACAGUAGUGUACAUUUUGCCAUUGUGAACACAGUGUUUUUAAUGAAAUGCUUUUUAAUUUUUAUUCCAUGUUCAUUACUGUUUUGUUGACCAUUGUUAAAUAAAUAUUGCAUUAAUAAAUGUCCUUGACUUUUAAGUCC
ensembl:processed_transcript